rnacentral:rRNA from 1 species
GGUGCGUAACGCGUAUACAAUCUGCCCUUUACUAAGGGAUAGCCCAUGGAAACCUGGAUUAAUAUCUUAUAGUAUCAGGAGGUCGCAUGGCCACUUGUUUAAAGGUUACGGUAAAGGAUGAGUAUGCCUCCUAUUAGCUAUUAUGUAGGGUAACGGCCUACAUAGGCGAUGAUAGGUAGGGGUUCUGAGAGGGAGAUCCCCCACACUGGUACUGAGCCACGGACCAAAUCAAUACGGGAGGCAGCAGUGAGGAAUAUUGGACAAUGGGAGCAAUCCUGAUCCAGCCAUGCCGCGUGCAGGAAGACGGUCCUAUGGAUUGUAAACUGCUUUUAUACAGGAAGAAAAAGCCCGACGAGUCGGGUGUUGACGGUACUGUAUGAAUAAGGAUCGGCUAACUCCGUGCCAGCAGCCGCGGUAAUACGGAGGAUCCGAGCGUUAUCCGGAAUUAUUGGGUUUAAAGGGUCCGUAGGCGGGAUAAUAAGUCAGUGGUGAAAGUUUGUGGCUCAACCAUAAAAUUGCCAUUGAUACUGUUAUUCUUGAGUAAUUGUGAAGUGGUUAGAAUGUGUAGUGUAGCGGUGAAAUGCAUAGAUAUUACACAGAAUACCAAUUGCGAAGGCAGAUCACUAACAAUUAACUGACGCUGAUGGACGAAAGCGUAGGUAGCGAACAGGAUUAGAUACCCUGGUAGUCUACGCAGUAAACGAUGGUUACUAGCUGUUUGGUCUAAUUGAGGGCUAAGUGGCUAAGCGAAAGUGAUAAGUAACCCACCUGGGGAGUACGUUCGCAAGAAUGAAACUCAAAGGAAUUGACGGGGGCCCGCACAAGCGGUGGAGCAUGUGGUUUAAUUCGAUGAUACGCGAGGAACCUUACCAGGGCUUAAAUGCAGUCUGACAGGGGUAGAAAUACCUUUUUCUUCGGACAGAUUGCAAGGUGCUGCAUGGUUGUCGUCAGCUCGUGCCGUGAGGUGUCAGGUUAAGUCCUAUAUCGAGCGCAACCCCUAUGGUUAGUUGCUAGCAGGUCAUGC